GACGAACGCUGGCGGCGUGCUUAACACAUGCAAGUCGAACGGAAAGGCCCUGCUUUUGUGGGGUGCUCGAGUGGCGAACGGGUGAGUAACACGUGAGUAACCUGCCCUUGACUUUGGGAUAACUUCAGGAAACUGGGGCUAAUACCGGAUAGGAGCUCCUGCUGCAUGGUGGGGGUUGGAAAGUUUCGGCGGUUGGGGAUGGACUCGCGGCUUAUCAGCUUGUUGGUGGGGUAGUGGCUUACCAAGGCUUUGACGGGUAGCCGGCCUGAGAGGGUGACCGGCCACAUUGGGACUGAGAUACGGCCCAGACUCCUACGGGAGGCAGCAGUGGGGAAUAUUGCACAAUGGGCGGAAGCCUGAUGCAGCAACGCCGCGUGCGGGAUGACGGCCUUCGGGUUGUAAACCGCUUUCGCCUGUGACGAAGCGUGAGUGACGGUAAUGGGUAAAGAAGCACCGGCUAACUACGUGCCAGCAGCCGCGGUGAUACGUAGGGUGCGAGCGUUGUCCGGAUUUAUUGGGCGUAAAGGGCUCGUAGGUGGUUGAUCGCGUCGGAAGUGUAAUCUUGGGGCUUAACCCUGAGCGUGCUUUCGAUACGGGUUGACUUGAGGAAGGUAGGGGAGAAUGGAAUUCCUGGUGGAGCGGUGGAAUGCGCAGAUAUCAGGAGGAACACCAGUGGCGAAGGCGGUUCUCUGGGCCUUUCCUGACGCUGAGGAGCGAAAGCGUGGGGAGCGAACAGGCUUAAAUACCCUGGUAGUCCACGCUGUAAACGGUGGGUACUAGGUGUGGGGUCCAUUCCACGGGUUCCGUGCCGUAGCUAACGCUUUAAGUACCCCGCCUGGGGAGUACGGCCGCAAGGCUAAAACUCAAAGGAAUUGACGGGGCCCCGCACAAGCGGCGGAGCAUGCGGAUUAAUUCGAUGCAACGCGUAGAACCUUACCUGGGUUUGACAUGGAUCGGGAGUGCCCAGAGAUGGGUGUGCCUCUUUUGGGGUCGGUUCACAGGUGGUGCAUGGCUGUCGUCAGCUCGUGUCGUGAGAUGUUGGGUUAAGUCCCGCAACGAGCGCAACCCUUGUUCACUGUUGCCAGCACGUUAUGGUGGGGACUCAGUGGAGACCGCCGGGGUCAACUCGGAGGAAGGUGGGGAUGACGUCAAGUCAUCAUGCCCCUUAUGUCCAGGGCUUCACGCAUGCCACAAUGGCUGGUACAGAGAGUGGCGAGCCUGUGAGGGUGAGCGAAUCUCGGAAAGCCGGUCUCAGUUCGGAUUGGGGUCUGCAACUCGACCUCAUGAAGUCGGAGUCGCUAGUAAUCGCAGAUCAGCAACGCUGCGGUGAAUACGUUCCCGGGGCU
rnacentral:rRNA from 1 species